AGGUCUUCGGAUGCUGACGAGUGGCGAACGGGUGAGUAAUACAUCGGAACGUGCCUAGUAGUGGGGGAUAACUACUCGAAAGAGUGGCUAAUACCGCAUGAGAUCUACGGAUGAAAGCAGGGGAUCGCAAGACCUUGUGCUACUAGAGCGGCCGAUGGCAGAUUAGGUAGUUGGUGGGAUAAAAGCUUACCAAGCCGACGAUCUGUAGCUGGUCUGAGAGGACGAUCAGCCACACUGGGACUGAGACACGGCCCAGACUCCUACGGGAGGCAGCAGUGGGGAAUUUUGGACAAUGGGCGCAAGCCUGAUCCAGCAAUGCCGCGUGCAGGAUGAAGGCCUUCGGGUUGUAAACUGCUUUUGUACGGAACGAAAAGCCCUGGGUUAAUACCCUGGGGUCAUGACGGUACCGUAAGAAUAAGCACCGGCUAACUACGUGCCAGCAGCCGCGGUAAUACGUAGGGUGCGAGCGUUAAUCGGAAUUACUGGGCGUAAAGCGUGCGC
rnacentral:rRNA from 1 species